UGGAGUUAACAUAAUGCUCGAAUUUAAGGGUUAGUUGCUUGAGUUAAGAAAAAUAAUUAUAUUUUUUAAUGGCAUGGUAUUUACCGUUUCCGCAUUUAUAGAUAUUUGGAUAUUCUUGCAUUUUUGGAAAUAUAAGGCGUCAAAAACUCAAAUUUUACAAAUUCAAGGAGGUGAUAAGAGAGGGUGGAGGUGGAAAAAAUUUUGCUUUUAUGUUUAAAAGCUGCUAAAAUUUCAGGAUCCUAGAAUUUGAGGUCCAGAAGAAAAACGAUAUCAAAAAUAAAAUUUCAAAAACGGGGAAAACGGUUUCUAGAUAACAUUUUAACUGCCAUUUUGUUAUUUUAAAGUUCCGAUUUGGUAUGCUGCAGCAGAAGAAGUCAGUUACUACAUUUUCUGUGUUUGCCAAAUCUGAAUAAUACUUACGAUUUCGCUGUAAUAAAUAAUUAAAAAAUCUGAUGUGUUCAGCACAUAACCGACCGCAAUAUGUACUGUCCAAACGUCAGUAAGCUUUGUGCCAUCCGAAUUCCGACUGUGAGUCUCGGCUAUUAGUUUCCGUAGCAACCAGAGUUCAAAUAUCAAAUUUCAAGAAAUUAUAUUAACUGGUUCCGCAGAUAUGAUAAAAAACGUAAAAUCCGGCCCAGUUUGGUUUCCGGUCUCUGAUGUUUCCAAAAAGUUUAUACAUUCAUUGUUUUAAUACUCCUAAUUCAAAUAUUAAAUUUCAAGAAAACUGGUUGAUUAUUUCUCUCUAUAUACAGAAAGAUUCGAAAUUGGCCCGCAAAAAAAGUCAUUUCCGUAGGCUUGAUAUAUCCCAAAAGUUGAUCUGUGACAAUAGCCAAAAUAAACUUACAUAUAAAAUUUAAUGAAAAUCGGUUUAGCUGAACUUGAGAUACACGUGCACACACCGAGACAUCUCUAAAAAUAGUUUAUUUACGCUUCCCUACUGUGGAGAAAUGCGUUCACACCGAAAAAUCGAUAAGAAAAAUAUGUUGCCAUUACAUGAUCUCCCUUAUUGUAUGCAAUGCGGACGGUAAAAAUGGUAUUUUCAGGAACUAUGAAUUUUAAAGCUUUCUGUCUUCAAGGAUAUAGAAUUUCAGUAAACAUGUCCAACAUUUUCGAUUUAAUUUCAAAUCUUCAUCUAGGCUAAAAUAAUAAUUUAAUACGACAAUAAUGUUUUUU